rnacentral:snRNA from 1 species
AUACUUACCUGGCGGUGAGAGUGCACGGAUCAUUAAGGGUGCAACUCCAGGGUGAGGCGCAACAUUGCACUUUGUUGUCGUUGACCUCUGAGGCUGAUUCAAAUAGAGUUACGCCUACCGUGUAAUUUUUUAGUCGGGGUUUGCGUUCGCGCUUCCCCAU